rnacentral:rRNA from 1 species
GACGAACGCUGGCGGCGUGCUUAACACAUGCAAGUCGAACGGUAAGGCUCCAGCUUGCUGGGGUACACGAGUGGCGAACGGGUGAGUAACACGUGGGUGACCUGCCCUGCACUUCGGGAUAAGCCUGGGAAACUGGGUCUAAUUCCGGAUAGGACCGCACCGUGAGGGUGUGGUGGAAAGUUUUUUCGGUGUGGGAUGGGCCCGCGGCCUAUCAGCUUGUUGGUGGGGUAAUGGCCUACCAAGGCGGCGACGGGUAGCCGGCCUGAGAGGGUGGACGGCCACAUUGGGACUGAGACACGGCCCAGACUCCUACGGGAGGCAGCAGUGGGGAAUAUUGCACAAUGGGCGGAAGCCUGAUGCAGCGACGCCGCGUGGGGGAUGACGGCCUUCGGGUUGUAAACUCCUUUCACCAUCGACGAAGGGUUUCUGACGGUAGAUGGAGAAGAAGCACCGGCUAACUACGUG